CACUUUGAGAGGCGGGGCGGGAGGAU
rnacentral:piRNA from 1 species